GGCCGCCUGGCGAAAUGGCAUCGCGUCUGACUACGAUUCGCGUAAUCAGGAGAUUGCAGGUUCGACCCCUGCGGUGGUCA